UAGCGAAGGGGGCUAGCGUUGUUCGGAAUACUGGGCGUAAAGGGCGCGCAGGCGGUCUUCCAAGUCAGAUGUGAAAGCCCCGGGCUCAACCUGGGAACUGCGAUUUGAGACUGGAGGACUAGAGUUCGGGAGAGGAGAGCGGAAUUCCCAGUGUAAGAGGUGAAAUUCGUAGAUAGUUGGGAAGAACACCGGUGGCGAAGGCGGCAUCCUGGACCGAUACUGACGCUGAGGAGCGAAAGCCAGGGGAGCAAACGGG
rnacentral:rRNA from 1 species